GCCUGGGUGGUGAAAUUGGUAGACACAAGGGACUUAAAAUCCCUCGGGGGCAACCCUGUGCCGGUUCGAGUCCGGCCCUAGGCACCA
rnacentral:tRNA from 1 species